CCUACGGGAGGCAGCAGUAAGGAAUAUUGGACAAUGGAGGCAACUCUGAUCCAGCCAUCCCGCGUGUAGGAUGACGGCCCUCUGGGUUGUAAACUACUUUUAGACAGGAAGAACCACAUUCAUUUAUGAGUGUUUGACGGUACUGUCAGAAUAAGCACCGGGCUAAUUCCGUGCCA
rnacentral:rRNA from 1 species